CGGCGGACGGGUGAGUAAUGCCUAGGAAUCUGCCUGGUAGUGGGGGACAACGGUUUCGAAAGGAACGCUAAUACCGCAUACGUCCUACGGGAGAAAGCAGGGGACCUUCGGGCCUUGCGCUAUCAGAUGAGCCUAGGUCGGAUUAGCUAGUUGGUGAGGUAAUGGCUCACCAAGGCGACGAUCCGUAACUGGUCUGAGAGGAUGAUCAGUCACACUGGAACUGAGACACGGUCCAGACUCCUACGGGAGGGCAGCAGCC
rnacentral:rRNA from 1 species